GUGGGGAAUAUUGGACAAUGGGCGAAAGCCUGAUCCAGCCAUGCCGCGUGUGUGAAGAAGGUCUUCGGAUUGUAAAGCACUUUAAGUUGGGAGGAAGGGCAGUAAGUUAAUACCUUGCUGUUUUGACGUUACCGACAGAAUAAGCACCGGCUAACUUCGUGCCAGCAGCCGCGGUAAUACGAAGGGUGCAAGCGUUAAUCGGAAUUACUGGGCGUAAAGCGCGCGUAGGUGGUUUUGUAAGUUGGAGGUGAAAUCCCCGGGCACAACCUGGGAACUGCCUGCAAAACUGCAUGACUAGAGUACGGUAGAGGGUAGUGGAAUUUCCUGUGUAGCGGUGAAAAGCGUAGAUAUAGGAAGGAACACCAGGGGCGAAGGCGACUACCUGGACUGAUACUGACACUGAGGUGCGAAAGCGUGGGGAGCAAACAGGAUUAGAACCCCCGGUAGUCC
rnacentral:rRNA from 1 species